rnacentral:misc_RNA from 1 species
AUGAAGAACGCAGCGAAAUGCGAUACGUAAUGUGAAUUGCAGAAUUCAGUGAAUCAUCGAAUCUUUGAACGCAUAUUGCGCUCUCUGGUAUUCCGGAGAGCAUGCUUGUUUGAGUAUCAGUAAACACCUCAACUCCCUUUUCUUUUUUGAAAUUGGAGCUGGACUUGAGUGAUCCCAACGCUUUCUUCCAAGAAAGUGGCGGGUUGCUUGAAAUGCAGGUGCAGCUGAACUUUUCUCUGAGCUAUAAGCAUAUCUAUUUAGUCUGCCUAAAAAACAGAUUAUUACCUUUGCUGCAGCUAACAUAAAGGAGACUAGUUCUUGUGCUGACUGAUGCAGGAUUCACAGAGACAGCUUCGGCUGACUUUGUAAACUCGAUCUCAAAUCAAGUAAGACUACCCGCUGAACGUAAGCAUAUCAAUAAGCGGAGGA